rnacentral:rRNA from 1 species
UACGUAGGGGGCAAGCGUUGUCCGGAUUUAUUGGGCGUAAAGAGCGUGUAGGCGGCCAGAUAGGUCUGCCGUGAAAACCCGAGGCUUAACCUCGGGCUGGCGGUGGAUACGGGCAGACUAGAGGUAGGUAGGGGAGAAUGGAAUUCCCGGUGUAGCGGUGAAAUGCGCAGAUAUCGGGAGGAACACCGGUGGCGAAGGCGGGUCUCUGGGCCGAUACUGACGCUGAGGAGCGAAAGCGUGGGGAGCGAACAGG